CAUAGGUUAAUGAGGCGAACCGGGGGAACUGAAACAUCUAAGUACCCCGAGGAAAAGAAAUCAACCGAGAUUCCCCCAGUAGCGGCGAGCGAACGGGGAGCAGCCCAGAGCCUGAAUCAGUAUGUGUGUUAGUGGAAGCGUCUGGAAAGGCGCGCGAUACAGGGUGACAGCCCCGUACACAAAAAUGCACAUGCUGUGAGCUCGAUGAGUAGGGCGGGACACGUGGUAUCCUGUCUGAAUAUGGGGGGACCAUCCUCCAAGGCUAAAUACUCCUGACUGACCGAUAGUGAACCAGUACCGUGAGGGAAAGGCGAAAAGAACCCCGGCGAGGGGAGUGAAAAAGAACCUGAAACCGUGUACGUACAAGCAGUGGGAGCACGCUUAGGCGUGUGACUGCGUACCUUUUGUAUAAUGGGUCAGCGACUUAUAUUCUGUAGCAAGGUUAACCGAAUAGGGGAGCCGAAGGGAAACCGAGUCUUAACUGGGCGUUAAGUUGCAGGGUAUAGACCCGAAACCCGGUGAUCUAGCCAUGGGCAGGUUGAAGGUUGGGUAACACUAACUGGAGGACCGAACCGACUAAUGUUGAAAAAUUAGCGGAUGACUUGUGGCUGGGGGUGAAAGGCCAAUCAAACCGGGAGAUAGCUGGUUCUCCCCGAAAGCUAUUUAGGUAGCGCCUCGUGAAUUCAUCUCCGGGGGUAGAGCACUGUUUCGGCAAGGGGGUCAUCCCGACUUACCAACCCGAUGCAAACUGCGAAUACCGGAGAAUGUUAUCACGGGAGACACACGGCGGGUGCUAACGUCCGUCGUGAAGAGGGAAACAACCCAGACCGCCAGCUAAGGUCCCAAAGUCAUGGUUAAGUGGGAAACGAUGUGGGAAGGCCCAGACAGCCAGGAUGUUGGCUUAGAAGCAGCCAUCAUUUAAAGAAAGCGUAAUAGCUCACUGGUCGAGUCGGCCUGCGCGGAAGAUGUAACGGGGCUAAACCAUGCACCGAAGCUGCGGCAGCGACGCUGAUGCGUUGUUGGGUAGGGGAGCGUUCUGUAAGCCUGCGAAGGUGUGCUGUGAGGCAUGCUGGAGGUAUCAGAAGUGCGAAUGCUGACAUAAGUAACGAUAAAGCGGGUGAAAAGCCCGCUCGCCGGAAGACCAAGGGUUCCUGUCCAACGUUAAUCGGGGCAGGGUGAGUCGACCCCUAAGGCGAGGCCGAAAGGCGUAGUCGAUGGGAAACAGGUUAAUAUUCCUGUACUUGGUGUUACUGCGAAGGGGGGACGGAGAAGGCUAUGUUGGCCGGGCGACGGUUGUCCCGGUUUAAGCGUGUAGGCUGGUUUUCCAGGCAAAUCCGGAAAAUCAAGGCUGAGGCGUGAUG
rnacentral:rRNA from 1 species